GACGAACGCUGGCGGCGUGCUUAACACAUGCAAGUCGAACGGAAAGGCCCUGCUUUUGUGGGGUGCUCGAGUGGCGAACGGGUGAGUAACACGUGAGUAACCUGCCCUUGACUUUGGGAUAACUUCAGGAAACUGGGGCUAAUACCGGAUAGGAGCUCCUGCUGCAUGGUGGGGGUUGGAAAGUUUCGGCGGUUGGGGAUGGACUCGCGGCUUAUCAGCUUGUUGGUGGGGUAGUGGCUUACCAAGGCUUUGACGGGUAGCCGGCCUGAGAGGGUGACCGGCCACAUUGGGACUGAGAUACGGCCCAGACUCCUACGGGAGGCAGCAGUGGGGAAUAUUGCACAAUGGGCGGAAGCCUGAUGCAGCAACGCCGCGUGCGGGAUGACGGCCUUCGGGUUGUAAACCGCUUUCGCCUGUGACGAAGCGUGAGUGACGGUAAUGGGUAAAGAAGCACCGGCUAACUACGUGCCAGCAGCCGCGGUGAUACGUAGGGUGCGAGCGUUGUCCGGAUUUAUUGGGCGUAAAGGGCUCGUAGGUGGUUGAUCGCGUCGGAAGUGUAAUCUUGGGGCUUAACCCUGAGCGUGCUUUCGAUACGGGUUGACUUGAGGAAGGUAGGGGAGAAUGGAAUUCCUGGUGGAGCGGUGGAAUGCGCAGAUAUCAGGAGGAACACCAGUGGCGAAGGCGGUUCUCUGGGCCUUUCCUGACGCUGAGGAGCGAAAGCGUGGGGAGCGAACAGGCUUAGAUACCCUGGUAGUCCACGCUGUAAACGGUGGGUACUAGGUGUGGGGUCCAUUCCACGGGUUCCGUGCCGUAGCUAACGCUUUAAGUACCCCGCCUGGGGAGUACGGCCGCAAGGCUAAAACUCAAAGGAAUUGACGGGGCCCCGCACAAGCGGCGGAGCAUGCGGAUUAAUUCGAUGCAACGCGUAGAACCUUACCUGGGUUUGACAUGGAUCGGGAGUGCUCAGAGAUGGGUGUGCCUCUUUUGGGGUCGGUUCACAGGUGGUGCAUGGCUGUCGUCAGCUCGUGUCGUGAGAUGUUGGGUUAAGUCCCGCAACGAGCGCAACCCUUGUUCACUGUUGCCAGCACGUUAUGGUGGGGACUCAGUGGAGACCGCCGGGGUCAACUCGGAGAAAGGUGGGGAUGACGUCAAGUCAUCAUGCCCCUUAUGUCCAGGGCUUCACGCAUGCUACAAUGGCUGGUACAGAGAGUGGCGAGCCUGUGAGGGUGAGCGAAUCUCGGAAAGCCGGUCUCAGUUCGGAUUGGGGUCUGCAACUCGACCUCAUGAAGUCGGAGUCGCUAGUAAUCGCAGAUCAGCAACGCUGCGGUGAAUACGUUCCCGGG
rnacentral:rRNA from 1 species